UAAGAAAACGUUUUCGGGUGAUCUGACUUUUAGGGGAAAAAACGGUAUUAUAAGUUUGGAAUUUGGAAAAAUACCAAGAAAUAGAAGUUGUAGAUAAUUGAAUUAGCUUUCCAACCAUAGGUCGUGGGUUCUCAGGUGACAUCGGUACAAGGAGAUAUGGACGUUUUAAGGUCGAAUGGUCAGUGGGCUAGGCCCAACUCGGGACCAACCGGGUUAGGCUCAAAAAAAAAAAAGAAUGAAAUUAAGGCCCAACCCAUAGGGUGGCCGGCCAUGGCUAGAAAAAUAAGAAAAAAAAGAUCCAAGCCCAAGUAGAAUUAAUCAUGUGAUAAAUGGAUAAAAUGCCACUUAAUCAUCCAAAAAUCCCAUAGAACCUUCAAGAAAAAUUUAGAAGGAGAAAAACAAAGAAACAAGAGCAAGAACAUAAGGGCCAUACGGCCAAGCUCUUGAAAUUUUGUCCCUUUGAAAUCUUUCUCCAAAAAUUAUUUUCUUGUGGUAUUUUCACUAAUUCAAGGGUCCUUUACAACUUGGUGUAAUUAUUUUGGAAGAAAGAGCACUUGUUUCUUCAAGUUGACAACUUGGUCAAGUGAAGAAGAUUGUAGAAAAAGAUUUUGGCGAACUUGAAACUUGAUUUUGGAGACGUGUAUGAAGCGGAAAAGGUCAGCAGACAGGUGGACGUGAUCCUUAGAAGCUCUACCAGCCGCACUUGACAGCGCUCCAGUUGUUCCGGAGCCUCACUCCAGCGGUACUAUUUUAUGCAUAUACAUUCGGGCUUGGUAGCACCCCGGCCCUUUCUAUGUAUAAGUGUACUAUGUCUAGAGGCUCGUAGACAGAUACGUACAGUCAGUCAGGUACAGAUAUAUGUAUAGUGUUUUGGCAUGUUAAUAUUGUUGUACAAGGUAAUAA